GUAUGAGAAUGCUGGAAGAUAAAUGAACCAUUUCACGCUGCUGAUUCAAGGUCACUAAAGGAUAUGUUGAGUUAGACAAUGAGUGUUGGACAUUUGUGUUGGUUCCAAGUCUUUGCUAUUGUGAAUAGUGCCACAAUAAACAUACGUGUGCAUGUGUCUUUAUAGCAGCAAGAUUUAUAAUCCUUUGGGUAUAUACCCAGUAAUGGGAUAGCUGAGUCAAAUGGUAUUUCUAGUUCUAGAUCCCUGAGGAUUCACCACACUGACUUCCACAAUUGUUGAACUAGUUUACAGUCCCACCAACAUUAUAAAAGUGUUCCCAUUUCUCCACAUCCUCUCCAGCACCUGUUGUUUCUUGACUUUUUGAUGAUCGCCAUCCUAACUAGUGUGAGAUGAUACCUCAUUGUGGUUUUGAUUUGCAUUUCUCUGAUGGCCAGUGAUGAUGAGCAUUUUUUCAUGUGCUUUUUGGCUGCAUAAAUGUCUUCUUUUGAGAAGUGUCUGUUCAUAUCCUUUGCCCACUUGUUGAUGGGGUUGUUUGUUUUUUUCUUGUUAAUUUCUGUGCAGAAGGUCUUCAGUUUAAUUAAAUUCCAUUUGUCUAGUUUGGCUUUUGUUGCCAUUGCUUUUGGUAUUUUAGACAUGAAGUCCUUGCCCAUGCCUAUGUCCUGAAUGGUAUUGCCUAGGUUUUCUUCUAGGGUUUUUAUGGUUUUAGGUCUGACAUUUAAGUCUUUAAUCCAUCUUGAAUUAAUUUUUGUAUAAGGUGUAAGGAAGGGAGCCAGUUUCAGCUU
rnacentral:lncRNA from 1 species